rnacentral:rRNA from 1 species
GAUGAACGCUGGCGGCGUGCCUAAUACAUGCAAGUCGAGCGAAUGGAUUGAGAGCUUGCUCUUAUGAAGUUAGCGGCGGACGGGUGAGUAACACGUGGGUAACCUGCCCAUAAGACUGGGAUAACUCCGGGAAACCGGGGCUAAUACCGGAUAACAUUUUGAACCGCAUGGUUCGAAAUUGAAAGGCGGCUUCGGCUGUCACUCAUGGAUGGACCCGCGUCGCAUUAGCUAGUUGGUGAGGUAACGGCUCGCCAAGGCAACGAUGCGUAGCCGACCGGAGAGGGUGAUCGGCAACACUGGGACUGAGACACGGCCCAGACUCCUACGGGAGGCAGCAGUAGGGAAUCUUCCGCAAUGGACGAAAGUCUGACGGAGCAACGCCGCGUGAGUGAUGAAGGCUUUCGGGUCGUAAAACUCUGUUGUUAGGGAAGAACAAGUGCUAGUUGAAUAAGCUGGCACCUUGACGGUACCUAACCAGAAAGCCACGGCUAACUACGUGCCAGCCGCCGCAGUAA